rnacentral:rRNA from 1 species
UACGGAGGGUGCGAGCGUUGUCCGGAAUCAUUGGGCGUAAAGGGCGCGUAGGUGGCCCGGUCAGUUCGUGGUGAAAGCGCGGGACUCAACCCUGCGUCGGCCAUGAAUACUGCCGCGGCUGGAGCACUGUAGAGGCAGGCGGGAAUUCCGGGUGUAGCGGUGGAAUGCGUAGAGAUCCGGAAGAACACCGGUGGCGAAGGCGGCCUGAGCUGGGCCAGUUGCUGGACACUGAGGCGCGACAGCGUGGGGAGCAAACAGG